rnacentral:rRNA from 1 species
GAUGAACGCUGGCGGCGUGCCUAAUACAUGCAAGUCGAGCGAAGCGGGGACGGGUGAGUAACACGUGGAUAACCUCCUAUAAGACUGGGAUAACUUCGGGAAACCGGAUCUAAACCGGAUCCUUAUAGAUGUCUCCGCGCUGCAUUUGCUAGUUGGUAAGGUAAAGGCUUACCAAGGCAACGAUGAAUAGCCGACCUGAGAGGGUGAUCGGCCACACUGGAACUGAGACACGGUCCAGACUCCUACGGGAGGCAGCAGUAGGGAAUCUUCCGCAAUGGGCGAAAGCCUGACGGAGCAAUGCCGCGUGAGUGAAGAAGGUCGUCGGAUUGUAAAACUCUGUUAGUAGGGAAGCGGUAUCUAACCAGAAAGCCACGGCUAACUACGUGCCAGCAGCCGCGGUAAUUC